AGAAUGUGAGUUAGAGUGAGCAUC
rnacentral:miRNA from 1 species